rnacentral:rRNA from 1 species
GAUGAACGCUAGCGAUAGGCUUAACACAUGCAAGUCGAGGGGCAGCAUGGUCUUAGCUUGCUAAGACUGAUGGCGACCGGCGCACGGGUGCGUAACGCGUAUGCAACUUGCCUCACAGAGGGGGAUAACCCGUCGAAAGACGGACUAAUACCGCGUACACUUGGGAUAGGGCAUCCUGACCCAAGGAAAUGAAAUUCGCUGUGAGAUAGGCAUGCGUCCCAUUAGCUAGUUGGUGAGGUAACGGCUCACCAAGGCGACGAUGGGUAAGGGAACUGAGAGGUUGAACCCCCACACUGGUACUGAGACACGGACCAGACUCCUACGGGAGGCAGCAGUGAGGAAUAUUGGUCAAUGGGCGAGAGCCUGAACCAGCCAAGUCGCGUGAAGGAUGACUGUCUUAUGGAUUGUAAACUUCUUUUAUACGGGAAUAACAAGAGCCACGUGUGGCUCCCUGCAUGUACCGUAUGAAUAGGCAUCGGCUAACUCCGUG